rnacentral:rRNA from 1 species
UAUCUGCCGUGGGCGCUGGAGAACUGAGGGGGGCUGCUCCUAGUACGAGAGGACCGGAGUGGACGCAUCACUGGUGUUCGGGUUGUCAUGCCAAUGGCACUGCCCGGUAGCUAAAUGCGGAAGAGAUAAGUGCUGAAAGCAUCUAAGCACGAAACUUGCCCCGAGAUGAGUUCUCCCUGACUCCUUGAGAGUCCUGAAGGAACGUUGAAGACGACGACGUUGAUAGGCCGGGUGUGUAAGCGCAGCGAUGCGUUGAGCUAACCGGUACUAAUGAACCGUGAGGCUUAACCUUACAACGCCGAAGGUGUUU